GAUCAGCUGAUCCAGCGGGGGACACCAGCGCUGUGUGUGGAUGGAGGCGGAGCUUAGUGUCUUACCUCAUCAUGUUCUCCACGCUCUGCUCUUUAACUUUAAUGUCUGAAAAAAUAGAAAGUCUAAAUGAAUCUGAGACCGCACGUUUUUAAAAAUAUACGAUGUGUUAACUAAUA